rnacentral:tRNA from 1 species
AUUUAAGUAGUUUAAACUAAAAUAUUAAUUUGUGGAAUUAAUGAUAUAUAUAAUAUGAUAUCUUAAAUU